CAUUCCCGCCAUAUUCGAAGUGAAACCUUGAUCGCGUCGCGCUGCAACGUCCCUCUCGUCCGCGCUCUCUCGUGCUCUCGCGUCUAUUCCAGAUAUCGAAAAUUUACAUCGCAUUCUCCCGAUCCUGCCUUCCACAUCCUGCCUUCGAUUUUAUCGCCGAUUUCGCAAGUGCUUGUAAUGUUUCCAAAGUGUUUGCCAAAUAUGGUAACGCGUCGUGUUGCAACGUAGGCGUCAGACUUUCGUUCGAACGACGAUUGGAUAGAGUAUUUUAACAGAAUGAUGCAACAUGGAGUAUAACGAAUGCAAUUACAUCCCUUGCAAUUUUUGACGGAAGUUCAGCAAUUCGACGCUAUACAUGUCUGCACAUAUUGCACCUGACAUCUGACUCUUGCAUCAGAAGAGCCGUCAACUGUAUAAUCGUAUGAAGAUGCCGAAAUCCUAUCAACUGAUAUCAGAUAAUUAAAUUAAAGGAGAGGCGACACCUUUAAUCUCAGUUAUAUCAUAUACAAAAUUGAGAUUCCUAAUUAAUAUAUAGGGAAAGGAAGGACAACACGAGAGAUUCUCUUUAUCCAUUUUAAUAAUGAUCGUAAAGUAUGUAUAAAUACAAACAUUUUUUUUUUGUAAGUAUAAUCAACGCAUUGGAAG